CGCAGACUAGCUGUUGACAUUAUAGUUGCGCGGGCACUUUGUUGACUCUAGAGAAUCUCGGGCCAAAUCGCACAUCCCUGUGGCGGCGACUUUGCAUCUGGAUGUCAUCCAUAUAAACUUUGGAUUCCAGUUUCUGCACCUACCAUGGUGACCACGGGUAACGGGGAAUCAGGGUUCCAUUCCGUACAGGGACCCUGAGAAACGGCUACCACAUGCAAGGAAGGCAGCAGGUGCGGAAAUGACCCACUUCCGACGCGGGAAGGUAGUGACG